UCCUUGAAGAGAUAACCUUUCAGUUGGCAUUUGGAUGAAGGCAGAGGAAGGAAAGUGAUGAGGGGUGGGCAGUGCUAUAAGGGAGGGCUAGAGGGUACCUACCAGGUUAGGGGACUAUAAGUAGGGUAAAAAUCUGAGUCAAGAGGCUUCCAUUGCAGGGAGGUAAAGAUGGCCAAUAUGGUCUGUACUAUACUCUUGUAAUAAGAAUAGAGGGGGCUGGGUGGGGAAUAUGAACUUUUGUGAAGGAUGAAAGGGUCUGGGUCUUUACCUGAAUAGCAAUGGAAAGCCAUUGAGUCAAUGAAGGUUUUAAUGGAGGGUGGGGUUAAUAUGAUCAGAUUUUUAUUUAUAGAUAACUUUGUGGAGAAAGUAUAAACACAGGAAGAAUCUUUUAGAGGGCCACUCUAGGUCCAGAUUUGGCAGUAUAAUUAGAGAGAAACAUAUAUUUUUGCAGAUGCAUAGGAGGCUGGAUGGAGGUAUAUGGGACCAUAAGGGAGGGACACAAAAUAGCUUGGUGGGCUGCGGAAUUGAAGAGAGGUGAGAAAAAGCUUUCCAGAGGCUUCCUCAGAGGCUCUCAUUUUUUAGUUCUUUUACCCCAAAGUACAGUUAAAAUGGUCUUAAUUUGUUGAACACUCUCCAUGGAUCUGCCUUUCCUAUAUUUCUUUGAGCCUCCCUGGAAUAGCUUUUCCUUCUAUAGCUGCAGUUCAAAAUUGUGUUCAUUCUAUAAGUCCCAGAUCCACUGUCACUUCCUCCAUAAAAUUUUACCUAAUUUGAAGUAAUUCCUCCCUUCCUCUGCUUAUCAUCUCUACAUCAGCUUUAAUGAUCCACAUACCUCUACUUGUAUAUUCUUCAUAUUUUCCCCUCAUAUUAUCAUUCCUGUGUCAAUGUCCCUCCUCUAAAGUUCUUGGAUGGACCAGAUCUUGUAUUUUACUCAUCUAUGCAAAGCUUGCAACCAGUUGCGGAUGGACUGCAGCAGUAUUUGUUUUUGACUUUGCGAAAUGUUUGUUCUGUUUGCCAAUUCCACAUAAAAGCUCAGAAGCAAAGGCUCAGCCAUCAGCUGGAGUAGCCGUCUGCCCUGUGAUCUCCCACCUCAUCAUACCUUAUUGUCGACUCAUUCACAUUACUAGCCUGACCUGAACAACUUUGAAUUUGGGAUAUUGGCUAUAAAAUUCCUACUGAAUUUAACCAACAAUUGUGUGUUGAGUUACGUAAUCCAGGACUGACUGUUUAGGUCAUCUGAGGGAAAAUUUUUCAAGUUGUCACUUCAGGGUCAUUAUCUUGGUUUAAUGGUGGUGCCUUUAACUAGAGGGAGGGGGAUGUGUGGGCAAAAUCUGAUAGGACCUCUUUGUGCUUAGUCUAAACCUCAAUUUCCAGUGUAAAGAAAUAUAAAUGUAUGUGAGGAAGGAACAGAAGGCUGGAUAAACUCUUGACUGAAUUAGCAUAGCUUGCUUGCUUUGUAACUUUUUGGAUGUAUGUGGUAAACAUGAGGCAGGGGGCUGGUUUCUGCUUGGUGGAGACCAUGUUGUAGAUGACUUGCUACAGCAGAGUUAGUAUGGCUUUACAUACCUGGUAUUUGUUUGAGAGUCAGAAUAUCUUACAAGCACGCAUAAUAACUGGUUUUAGUGAUGGAGACUUGACAGUUUGGAAUUCUUCCUAACAUAUCUGUAACGAUGAAAUAAGGAUAUAUCAUUCUUAAUUCCUCGUGCUAAAAAAAAAAAAUUCCUCGUGCUCCAAUGUUAUAAAAAGAACCUCUCUUCUAAUGAUAUGCUCUUCCAAAUGAUUCAGAUUUAACACUCCAUUGGUGGAUGAAGAAAGUAAAAAUAAAACCCCCUAAAAUGGAGUAAUCACAGAAGGAAUUAAAAUAAUUUCCUUGACAUUCCUUUGUAUGAAGCAUGCUUUCCUGUUAAAAGAUAAACUGAGGCAUAUUAAAUUUUUAAGUUUUUAAGAAUUUGUUUGAGCCAAAAUUGAUUUAAAUAGAGGGCAGCACCAAACCAGAAGUGGUUAGUGGUCCACAGAUAGGACCCAGGGAAAAGACCUUCAUCACAGGGAGGACAGAGAAGCAAAGCAGGGACAUUAUUCGAUUGGCUAUAGCUUAAGUGUUUGCCUUAUUUGAGAAGCCUAGUAGGCUGUUUGUUGUUGAUUUUCUUAAGGUUUUUACUUCUUAACCUUGAGACACUGCAGGCUGAAGCUUUGGUUUGCCUACUUGGGUGGUGGAGGUAUUAGAACCACCUCAGUCUAAUGUCCUCCUUAUUUAAUUAAUUUAACACUUUCAUGCAUAAAAUGGAAUUUAAAGCUUAUAAAACAUGUUUUUGAAUCUUUGGGAAUCCUGGUAUUUUUUAUAAAUAGAAUUAUUAAGAGUUCAAAUGAUAAAAAUAGAUAGCUAGAGCAUCUGACUGCUCAGAUAGGUAUAAACAGAUAAUUAAAUGUGUAAAAUUAAAAAAAAAUAUAUCAACAAAGUUUGAAUACCUCACUGACAAUGCAGAGACCCAGGGAAAAAUGCAUCAAGACAGAGACUCAAAAACAGUAACAAAAGGCUAUUUCUUGGCUCCAAAAACUGUGAUUGUGAUAAGAAGUAUUGUGUUACAAAGAGUCUUCUAUGGACACAACAGAUUUUAUGGGCUAGAGGAGAUUCCAGUGAACCAUGAAAGUCUCCAGGAGAACAUCCAGAGAGAAAGCUAGUUCCCAGUUUACCCCCGUAGUCACAGGACAUCGGUAGGGUUGAUGCCUUGUAGUUCUGCUCAUUGUGAAAAUACCAUCAAGGCCACCCUGUGGUGGUGCCAGAGAGAAGCCCCCACGUUACAGUACAGUGUAUGGAGAGAGCAGAACUCACUGGCAGUUCCAGCUCUUCCUAGUGCUACUUCAUUAAAAAUAA